rnacentral:miRNA from 1 species
UGUGCUUGCUCGUCCCGCCCGCA